rnacentral:rRNA from 1 species
GAUCAUGGCUCAGGAUGAACGCUGGCGGCGUGCUUAACACAUGCAAGUCGAACGGAGUUAGAUGAAACCUAGUGAUUCUAAACUUAGUGGCGGACGGGUGAGUAACGCGUGGGUAACCUGCCAUAUACAGGGGGAUAACACUUAGAGAUAGGUGCUAAUACCGCAUAAGCGCACAGGACCGCAUGGUCUGGUGUGAAAAAACUCCGGUGGUAUAUGAUGGACCCGCGUCUGAUUAGCUAGUUGGUGAGGUAACGGCCCACCAAGGCGACGAUCAGUAGCCGGCCUGAGAGGGUGAACGGCCACAUUGGGACUGAGACACGGCCCAAACUCCUACGGGAGGCAGCAGUGGGGAAUAUUGCACAAUGGGGGAAACCCUGAUGCCAGCGACGCCGCGUGAGUGAAGAAGUAUUUCGGUAUGUAAAGCUCUAUCAGCAGGAAAGAAAAUGACGGUACCUGACUAAGAAGCCCCGGCUAACUACGUGCCAGCCGCCGC